UGAUACUUGUGAGUCUUAGUUUGACGAGGAUGUCAGGGCUUAAAGGGGGGAGGAAUGUAAGAACCCAGAUAGUCCUAUAUAUAAGAUAUAAUAGGGCUAGAACUUUUAACCCGACUUAAGCAAUUUGGGUGGUAGUUAGGCUCAAGAGGUUAAAAGAGUUAAGCGUGUUAUGACGGGAGUAAUCUUAGAAUGGGCAACCCCCGAGAAGUUGGGGCAUCACAAAUCUAAUUGGAUUAGGAUUUGGGUAGCUUUUGAUUUAAGCAAUAAAUAUAGCAUAAGUCUUAUUAUGUUGGUGGUGGUGGCAUGGAUUAACCACACUCAUAUAGUAUGGCUAAGGUUGUCAUGAUUUUGAAUGCACCUAGUGCAUAGGUGUAAGAGGACGUGUAUGGUUUUUUAGCCGUGGGUUAUUGGUAUAUCUUGUGUCUGGAUGUACAAGAUGAUAGAGAGGUCUUCUUAGUUUAUAGAAGAUGAGAGAAUGGUAGGAAAGAUUCAAAAAGAGGGCUUGGGUUAUAGCUACUCUGUGAAGAAGAUGAGUCAGGUGUAAUCUUCUCUUAUUUAAUAAAUUUAUUUCACCCGUAUAUUUUCUGUUUGGUUAUUUUCUCUCUUUAUGAUUGUAUUAACUUUUGUUGAGGAGACGGGUUUAUAGUAAAAAUCCAAUU
rnacentral:lncRNA from 1 species